AGAACACGAGAAGAAAGCAGCGACUUAACGAAAGAGUAUCAUCCACAGCAGCGGCACGCCCAUUCACGGCAGAAACCGAAAGACUCUGCACGCGCAGCAGGGGAGCUUCGUGACACGCGCCGUCCACCCCCACCCCACCCUCCUCUCCUUACAACAACAAGUCCGUCACCAGCGGCAGACAACCCUUCUUAGUAGAGCGCUCCUCAUUUCACUCUUCUGGGUAGCAUUCCCUUUCUCUGCCACCAUGUUCAUUGUGCAGGUAGCGGCCGACAUCUUCGGCAACAAGCUGAACUUCGAGCUCGGCUUCCCCAGCCGCCCCAGCCUGCAGGAGAUCACUCGCGUCUCUGAGAGCGCCUUUUCGACGGAGAUAGCCAACACGCGGCCAGACAACGUGCCCCAGCACACGUUCCACAUAUCGAAGAUCAAAGUCUAUGACGAGGACAAGAGCAAGUGGGUGGACCUUCUCGGCGAGGGUCAGCUAACGGACUACUGCCAGCUCUACGCCUUCCAGCCAGAGAAUCCAUGGCACAAGGAGACGCAGAAGCCGAUUCCUCCGGCAACAAAACCGCCGACGGCUACGACCGCGCUGAGUCGCAGUGCCGCCGUCAGCAACACGCCGUCCGGCAGCCGCGCCGUCGCGUCCACCUCCAACGCCUUGGCUCCCUACACCGGCGGCCGCAGUGAGCCGGCGACAUUGCGGAGGUCCUAUGCAGCUGGGGCCAGCAGCACUGCCCUUGUCCCUCGCAGCAAUGCAGACGCAUCUCCGGAGGAAAAGCUGCGCGUCGUCUUCUCCGAAUUCGACAACAAGGGCACUCGAAUGAUUGACGUGGAUGACUUCAAGCAGGGUUUCCACAACAUGGGGCUGGACUUCUCCAGCGCCACCGUGGAGGACCUCUUCGAGCGCGCCGAUCUCAACCACGACCACCGCAUCUCCUACACGGAGUUCGAGCGCUUUGCGCGGCUGUACCCGAUCAUGACCGACUGCCUGUACUUCCGCUCCAAGGCCUUCUGGGAGGAGGACCAGAUGCGCAAAGAGAUCCAGUCGGAGGUGGAGGCGGCGCACAAGUCGGAGGCCACGCUGGACCAUGCGCAGCGCAGCCUGGAGAACGCCGAGGCCGACGUUGCAGACGCGCAGAGCGCCGUGAAAGCCGCCGACGACGACUUGCGGGACCGCACAGACCGCAUGCGCGACCUUGCUAAAGACAUGGAGGAGGCGCGCAAGGGCAAGGAGCGGGUGAUGCGCGAGAAAAAGGAGCGGGAACAGGAUCUCGGUGCCAUCAGGGAGCGGGAGAAGGACGCGCGCAAAGAUUUGCAGGACCUAGCUCGCGACUCCGACAAGCUGGACCGGCGCGCUGCCGCGCUCGUGAGUGAUGCCGACGCGGCGGAUGACAAGGUUCGCCAGCUUCAGAAGGCGCUCGAGGACGCGAAGCGCACCGCUGACCGAGCACACCAGGCGGCCGAGCAGGCAGCGUUGGAGGCCGACCAGGCUAAGGAGCGUGAAAGAGAUGCCGCCAUGGAGGCGGAUGCGAUUGCACGCGAGAUCCCGAAGGCCGAGGACGCUGUGCGUCUGGCGGACCGCAACGUGGUGGCAGCGGACCAGGUGCUGCGCGAACUGGACAGUGCCGGCAAGGACAUUGGACGUCAGGCAGACGAGGCGGCCAGUCGGCGCGACGCUGGCGAGAAGGCUGUGGCCGAGGCACGUGAAAAGGUGAUGCAGAAGGUGCGCGAGUUGGACGCAGCGCGCAACGCCGUUGCCGAAAAAGACAGAGCCAUCAAACAAAAGGAGGCGGAGCUCGACGAGCACCGACGUCAACGAGAGCUCAUCACGCAGCACGAGCGCACCCUGAUCGAACAAGAGUUGCGCCUCCGUGAGCAGCGCGACAGUCUGGAGCAGCGCGAGACAAAACUGAUGUCGGAGGCCAGCAACUACCUUGGGAACAUGCGCAUCAACCUCGCGACGCGCUCCUACUCGCGCGACCCCGGAGGGUACUGAGUCGUUGUAGGAGUGGCAGAGAACGACAACGACGCGUGCGUGUGCGUGCCGCUAGAAACGCCUCAUGCGCUGUCUCCUCUCGCCCCCUCCUCUUUUCUGUGCGUGUGCUGUUGCCGUUUUCGCUAGACGCAACUGCUGCUCAUCUCUCUUGGUACUUUGUUCUGGGGUGCUCAGAGGGAGGGGCGCUUUCAUCCCCACCCUGUGCGCAUGUGCGUGUGAGUGCUAGGGGCGCAUUUCUUUCCUUGAUUGUUAGAUAGGCAGCCGUGCACGCCAUGCGUGCUGUGGCGAUGUCUGCUAUAUAUAUAUAUAUAUAUAUAUACGCCGAGUCUGCCCAUCGGCGUGAGUUUGGGCGGCGCAUCCUUCACCCGUCACACUCACUUCGCAUCCACCCUUGUUUCUCCUGCAACUUCUCUUUUCUAUCGUUGAAUGUGUGCGUGCGAGUGCGCGUGUAUGUGGACUUGUAUUGCCUGCCUCCCUGAGAGAGAUCCAUGUCGCCGUGCGAAUGACCCCCUCCGUAUGCAAUCCUUAACGCAUGUUUCCCCGGGGGUUCGGCCAGGCUGGCGGCAGUGGCGCCGCCCUCUUGCAGGCCACACCACUGGAGCACGCAGACGAUAGUGACGAGGUUGACCUCUUUGGGAGAGUAGAAGAGGGAAAGUGCAUUGUCCCCGUGCGUUGUGCGUGUGCUUGUGUGUGUGUAUGUGGUCUCUCUCUGGCGUGUCGGUUAUGGCGACGCGAUGGAGACUCGUCAUCCUGCGCCGUCAUCAUCGUUAAACGUGCGUUUUUCUUCUUCUUGUCUUCGUUGUCGCCUUUUCUUCUUCCACUAGAGUAUACGACGGACGCUUUCCGUGCUCGUUGGUCUCUUGGUUCUCUGUUUGACUCGCUGUGUACCACUGUACGUGUCGUCGUCUUGAUUGAGGCCAUGGAGAGAGGGUAUGUGGUGGUGAUGCUGGUUCCAGGGGGAGGGACCGGAGAGGGGGGAUGGGGCUGUGCCAUAGAGCGCCAACAGAGAGGUGUGGAGGAGACAACUACUUUGGCCGGCAGAGUGCUUUAGAGGUUGUGAGGAGUCGACGCGCAUGGCCACCGCGUGCUGGGCCCUUUUCCCUUCCUCAGCGAUCAACCUCCUCCCCCACCCCCGCUGCUUCCCGCCUGCCUGUUCUUGUUUUGGCGUUUCCAUAGAUGAGUUUUGUGUUUCUUUUAGUCGCCGUUGCGUGCCUUUGGGGUUUCUGUAGUGUUGUCUUCAUCGUACACGAGAGAGGUGGGAGCAGCGGACCGGCUGCUGCUGCAGGGUGCAGCACAGCUGCGUAACUGAAAAGCCAAACGACGCACACGCCCACAGGUCUGAGGCUGAAGAGAGUUUUGCCCUCCAAAACAACAACGAAAAAGAAGCCGAGGUAAGGCGAGUUGCCAGGCGUGCAUCGACAGACACGCAGACCGGUACCCUGUAACAGCAGGGGAAGGGGGGGUCAACGUCAAACACGCGGACCGCUAUCUUGUCCGGUAACUAUAUCGUAUGCUGGCACUGCUGCUGCUCUCGUUGUUCGCACGCCUGUCAUGGGCUUACUUGUGGCAGGUCCCCGCAUCUCUCGCCCUCAAAAUGUUGCCGGCGCUCUCAUUUACUCCUUUCCUUCCUACGGAGAUGGCGAUGAGAAACACGAUGCCUGAGGGCAUCGGACGAGGAGGGGGUAGGGCGGAGAAGAAGUAGAGUAUCGGCCCACGUGAGUGCUGCGUGUGUGCCUGUCGAGCAUGCCAGCGUGCCUCCCCGCGUCCCCACGCAUAAGCGAUGCCCAGGAUCGCCCCUUGGCCAUAGCUGCUGUCGCUGAUGCCGGCAGCUCCUACAGCCCCUUACUUCUACGCCUUCUCGUCCCAUCUUUAUAAAACUGCCUCGCCCCAUGCCGGCCUGCAG
rnacentral:misc_RNA from 1 species